AAAGAAAUAAGCGCUGGAUGACAUGUGGCAGAUUUUCCAACUCUCCAGGAAAAACUUCAGAUCAACUUGUUUCUCUGGAAACUACUCACAUCCGGGGGCUGUCCCUGUCCCCUGGGACUCAUAAACGUUCCUAUCUUCAAGGCACAGUUUAAAUCCUGGCCCAGCAAAGAGAAGGGCUCUGGACCUGAGAUCAUCCAUCAUGGACAACCUCUCUGCCAAGAAAAGCCCAGGGCUACUUCCUUAGGAAGGGUCUUUGGACCAGGGCAUUUCAGCAAGAAGGGGAAAAUUGGACAUGACUGGCACUUAAACAAACCCAACAGGUGCAGACUGUAAAUUGGCAAAGUGACAUCAUCAGUAGAAAAUCAGACUACAGAAAUCGAGAAGCUUGGCAUAGCCCUUCUCUUUCCAGUCCACUUGACCUGGUGCUAACCACACAACUGCCUUAAGCCUUAAUUUUCUCAUGGAGAUGGAAAUGGGUUAUUGGGAAAUUCAAAUCAGAUAAUUUACGUGAAAAUAUGUUAUAAUCUCUGAGAUGUAAAGCGUGACCACCAGAGUUUAAAAAGAAUAGAAGCAAGAAGACAAGCUGAGUCACUAACUUGCCAGGGAAGUGAACACACUCCAGGGAAGAAAUUCACUCAAUGGAGGAACCUUGAAACAGUAAGGAAUUCAGCUUCAUAUAUCAGAGAAGAAAUAAAUUUCAAGAGAGCCAGCAUUCUACCUUCGGGCAAGAAGAUUUUAUUCCCAUUUGGCAGAUGGAAUAGCUGAGGUCCAGGAAAGUUAAAUAUCUUGGUGUCAAUGUCUCCAGUCAUGUAAAUGGUGGAAGCUUUUUUUUUAAUUCAGUACUAUCACAUAUAACAUACCACAUGGCUUGUAUCAGUCAGACUAGCCCCAAAUUUCAAUGUCUUACAUCAGUGAAGGUUUUCUAUUUGUAGCCCAUGCUACCUCAUCCAGGGCUGUGCGUUUGGUUUAGAUGUUUUUAUUCACAGGUGCAGACUGAUUGAGAUACAUCUAUUACUAGUUCCAUUGCAGAAGAAAAAAGAAAAAAGAAAUUAUGAAAAGGCAUAUGCUGGUUCCCAAGCCUUUGCUAGGAAAUUACACUUAUCACUUCUGCCCAUUUCAUGGCCAAAGCAACAUGCAUG
rnacentral:lncRNA from 1 species